rnacentral:rRNA from 1 species
UUUUAUGGAGAGUUUGAUCCUGGCUCAGGAUGAACGCUGGCGGCGUGCCUAAUACAUGCAAGUCGAGCGAACGGAUGAGAAGCUUGCUUCUCUGAUGUUAGCGGCGGACGGGUGAGUAACACGUGGAUAACCUACCUAUAAGACUGGGAUAACUUCGGGAAACCGGAGCUAAUACCGGAUAAUAUUUUGAACCGCAUGGUUCAAAAGUGAAAGACGGUCUUGCUGUCACUUAUAGAUGGAUCCGCGCUGCAUUAGCUAGUUGGUAAGGUAACGGCUUACCAAGGCAACGAUGCAUAGCCGACCUGAGAGGGUGAUCGGCCACACUGGAACUGAGACACGGUCCAGACUCCUACGGGAGGCAGCAGUAGGGAAUCUUCCGCAAUGGGCGAAAGCCUGACGGAGCAACGCCGCGUGAGUGAUGAAGGUCUUCGGAUCGUAAAACUCUGUUAUUAGGGAAGAAC